rnacentral:rRNA from 1 species
CCUACGGGAGGCAGCAGUGGGGAAUAUUGGGCAAUGGACGCAAGUCUGACCCAGCAACGCCGCGUGAAGGAAGAAGGCUUUCGGGUUGUAAACUUCUUUUAAGGGGGAAGAGCAGAAGACGGUACCCCUUGAAUAAGCCACGGCUAACUACGUGCCAGCAGCCGCGGUAAUACGUAGGUGGCAAGCGUUGUCCGGAUUCAUUGGGCGUAAAGAGUUUGUAGGCGGCAAGGAAAGUCUGGUGUUAAAGGCAGAGGCUCAACUUCUGUACUGCAUUGGAUACUUGCGAGCUAGAAUGUGGUAGAGGUAAAGGGAAUUCCUGGUGUAGCGGUGAAAUGCGUAGAUAUCAGGAGGAACAUCAGUGGCGUAAGCGCAUUACUGGGCCGUAAUUGACGCUGAGGAACGAAAGCCAGGGGAGCAAAUGGGAUUAGAUACCCGAGUAGUC